AACGCGUGGGUAACCUGCCUUGUACUGGGGGACAACAGUUGGAAACGACUGCUAAUACCGCAUAAGCGCACAGCUUCGCAUGAAGCAGUGUGAAAAACUCCGGUGGUACAAGAUGGACCCGCGUCUGAUUAGCUGGUUGGUGAGGUAACGGCCCACCAAGGCGACGAUCGGUAGCCGACCUGAGAGGGUGAUCGGCCACAUUGGAACUGAGAGACGGUCCAGACUCCUACGGGAGGCAGCAGUGGGGAAUAUUGGGCAAUGGGCGAAAGCCUGACCCAGCAACGCCGCGUGAGGGAAGAAGGGUUUCGGCUCGUAAACCUCUGUCCUAUGGGACGAAGGAAGUGACGGUACCAUAGGAGGAAGCCCCGGCUAACUACGUGCCAGCAGCCGCGGUAAUACGUAGGGGGCGAGCGUUGUCCGGAAUGAUUGGGCGUAAAGGGCGCGUAGGCGGCCUGCUAAGUCUGAAGUGAAAGUCCUGCUUUCAAGGUGGGAAGUGCUUUGGAUACUGGUGGGCUGGAGUGCAGGAGAGGAAAGCGGAAUUACCGGUGUAGCGGUGAAAUGCGUAGAGAUCGGUAGGAACACCAGUGGC
rnacentral:rRNA from 1 species